rnacentral:rRNA from 1 species
CAAUAGCGUAUAUUAAAGUUGUUGCAGUUAAAAAGCUCGUAGUUGGAUUUCUGGGAGGGUGCCGCCGUCCGGCGUGUCCGUGUGCAGUGGCGCCCUUCCAUCCUUCUGUUAGCGUCUCUUGGCAUUCAUUUGCUGGUGGCGGGCUCAGAUAUUUUACCUUGAGAAAAUUAGAGUGUUUCAGGCAGGCUAGGCCGGAAUACAUUAGCAUGGAAUAAUGGAAUAGGACUACGGUCUCUUUGUUGGUUUGAGGGACUGCAGUAAUGAUUAAUAGGGAUAGUUGGGGGCAUUAGUAUUUAAUUGUCAGAGGUGGAAUUCUCAGAUUUGUUAAAGACUAACUUAUGCGAANGNAUUUGCNAAGGAUGUUUNCAUUA